GGGGGGGGGGGGGGGGAGGGGUAGGGGAGGCGGGGCGAGGGGGAGGUGCGGGGCUGGCGGCGCAGGGGGGCGGAACGGGUGGGGACGGGCCGUUAGGUUCGGAAUAACUCCACGAACGGGGUGAUAAGCCCGGCUGCGGUCUUCGGACCAACGAUUUAUCGCCUUUGGAUGGGCCCGCGUUAGAUUAGCUAGUUGGUAGUGUACAAGCCUAAGAAGGCGACGAUCCAUAGCUGGUCUGAGAGGAUGAUCAGCCACACUGGGACUGAGCCACGGCCAAGACUCCUACGGGAGGCAGCAGUGGGGAAUAUUGGACAAUGGGCGAAAGCCUGAGCCAGCAAUGCCGCGUGAGUGAUGAAGGCCGUAGGGUUGUAAAGCUCUUUUACCCGGGAUGAUAAUGACAGUACCGGGAGAAUAAGCUCCGGCUAACUCCGUG
rnacentral:rRNA from 1 species